rnacentral:lncRNA from 1 species
CUGGAUACAGCCCACCUUUUCACAGAGGGAAUAUUUUUCUCUUCGUAGUUGGAAGAAAGCAAUUACAGAGUACCAACUAUAUGCAGGAUGUAAUGAAGGAGGCGGUAUAGUCAGGGCAGGUCUCAUAUCCUGGAAAGACCACAGUUCCAGGGAACCCCUAGCUGGCACCCUGCCCUCAGGGGGUGCCUGGCAGUGGCCACUGAUGAAAACAUGGGCUAAAAAGCACUAAAACAACAACAUGCUGGAGAUCAGGGGAAGGGCCAAUUAUUUUCAAUCAGCAGAUCCAGGAAGACUGCCUGUAGGAGGAGACAUUGGAACUGAGCAUGAAGGAUGGGCCUAGAGACCAGGGUAAGGGGUUCUGGGUACACGAAGGGGGCAUUCACAAGCCCAGGAGGAGCUCUGUGUAUGGU